ensembl:lncRNA
AGAUGAACGGCCGUAGAACGUGCCCGAAGUCGUCACCCAGCGCACGGCCUCUAGCGUCUCGCCGCUCCGCCCUCCUGGCCGGAGUAGCGCGCAGUCUUCCGUGGAAACUCUGACAACACUGGCGACUGGCCAUUUCCGGAAAUCAAAGGACAGCCCCAGGACCCGGUAACUGCUGUAUUGCGGAGGAGAGGGAAGAAGGUUGUGGCGAGCCCAGAAGAAAUUACAGCCUCCCGUAGCCGCCGGGCGCUGCCUGAGGGGCAACCGGAGCUCGUGGAGUCUGCUGGGAACUGUAGUCUUCGUGAUACGAACCUGCACAGGGAUGGAGCGGGUGAUAGCGCUUCCCCGACCCCGCAACGUUCCGCGCCUCACCGUACACUCGGUUCCGGGUCGGCCCAGGUCCGAGCUUUGCGUGACGCCUAAGGGAGAGGGGGAUGGGAGGACCUUUGAGUCGGUAUUUUAAAGGGGGCGUGUUGGGGGCCAGGUGGGUGGCGAGUAAAACAACCCUAGAAUAAAGAAUACAACUCACCAGGCCGCCACCCCACCAACAAAAUCUCUUUUGCGCGCUCACGGGCAAGGUAGAGCUCAAUUCACCCCGGCUUCGGGAACCCAACCAAAAUCCGAGUGCUUGGACGAGGCAGGUUGGCAGAUUAGGUAAAAUCCGUCUUAUAGAGUCUCAUGGGGUUUUCCCUUUACUAAUUCAUCACAUUUCUACUUUUUUAUUUCUGUAAGACUAUUAUCGCUAAAAUUUACUUAGGCGGGGCACUAAGCACUUUAAUUUGACCUUCAUGCAUUCACCCCAUGGUAUAGGUACAGUAGUAUAGUUUCAAUCAUUAUACAGGUAAAUUACUGAGACAGAGGAACUUAGGAUCAUAAAACUAACAAAACCGGGAUUUGAACACGUUCUAAGGACAAAGCCUGCGCCUGUCAUCUCUCUUUCCUAGGAUCUUACCCUUCAAAGUGGGGAAACAAAUUUUUUUAAUGGUGUAUGUAGUUUCAUGAAUAUUUUACCGUAUUACAAAAACAUGGAUCUUUAAUGAUGCAUUAUUUUCCUUUAUCAGAAUGUACCAUCCUUUGUUCCAUUAUUGCUAACCACUAAAGUCCACUGAUAUUACCAUACUUGAUCAUAAACCUAUGCACAUUUCUAAUUAUUUAGAAUCAACUUUAAUACAAUUACUGGGUCAAAGGGUGUAAAAACAAAUAUUCUUGAUAGUCAAACUGCUUUGCAAAAUGGUGGUACCAAUUCCACAGUGGUGUAUAAAAGUAAACAAUUUCACUGAUCCUCACGAUUAGGUAUUGUCUAAACAUCACAAAUACACUUUUCCGUUUGUGGCUAAACCAUUUAAAAGACUACAAUGUAACAUCACAGGAAAGCUUGCCACUUUUUAAAAAUGUUUCUAGAUACAUAUUUAAACAUUUAUUUCACUUUGGCAGUUAAGCGUCUUUGAAUUAUCUGUUUAUACUAAAAUAUAUGAGGUGUAUGUUGAGUGGAUCUACAUGUAUCAAGUGCCUCCUAUGGACUUGAGUGCUUUACACUUUUGUAAAUUACUUUUUAAAAACCUAAUCUCAUGACAAAUAAUGUAAAUUAUUAACUUGUCUGGUAAAUUAUGUUGCCUUUUAUUCUGCUUAAAACUUUUGCUUCCUUUUAAAGCCUUAUUUUGAAAUUACUCUUUUCACCAAGAGCCAGUAUAUUUUAAAGAGAAAAUGUUUUGAGUUCUAUUCAAAUCAGACAUCACUACAAUAUCCAAUUAAAAGACUUAUUUCCCAUCUGAUUUCUUAGAGGCAAUUAGAAUAAGUUAACUAGAUAAUAGACAAUUUAAAUUUCCAAAUUGCUCUUCUGAUUAGAAAAGGAAAAAAACGUAAAAAACUUCUGCCAUGAGGAAAUUCUUUAUGGCAGAGAAUUUCCACAACUAAAUUAAGAAACUUAAAUUUUUUUGUCGCUACGGAUCUAAGGAAAUAACAUUUCAUUAAAUGUCUUUAGCCUAUGGUGUAGAAUCCACCUUUACACACACAGAGCUCAAAACUUUUUCCCCAACCUUAUUAAGUUUUGAACUUUCGAGAGGUUAUAUGGAAUAUCCACAAUCAACGCUGGUUCUGAAACUAGCUCUAUCUCCUACUAGCAACAUGUUAGCAAGAUUAACUUGAUCUGGCCGGGCGCGGUGGCUCAAGCUUGUAAUCCCAGCACCUUGGGAGGCCGAGACGGGCGGAUCACGAGGUCAGGAGAUCGAGACCAUCCUGGCUAACCUGGUGAAACCCCGUCUCUACUAAAAAAUACAAAAAACUAGCCGGGCGAGGUGGCGGGCACCUGUAGUCCCAGUUACUUGGGAGGCUGAGGCAGGAGAAUGGCGUAAACCAGGGAGGCAGAGCUUGCAGUGAGCUGAGAUCCGGCCACUGCACUCCAGCCCAGGCGACAGAGCGAGACUCCGUCUCAAAAAAAAAAAAAAAAAAAA